CAGCAUCACCAUUAUCUAUGGACACGGUGCUGCAGACCUUCUGGAAGGAACAUGGUUCCAGGGUCUGUCGGAAAGGUUUUCCGUGUCCAG
rnacentral:ncRNA from 1 species